CGCGGUUUUGUUUACUUUUGCAUGCAAUUCGGUAGCACGCAAAAUGUGUCGAAGAAGAAAAUCCUGUGAAUGAAGUCGAGCCGACAAAGGACAUGGAAGUGCGGAAGACAGAAAAGAGGAAUUUUUAGGCAACUGCUGCGAAAAAGGCAAGUGCACCUGUGGAAACUACUCCCGUUUACUCUCAUGGAUCUCCCCAAAUUUUAUGCAAGUCUACUGGUGUAAACGAAGCGGCUCGAAAACGAAGAAGAAGGCACUUUCAAGUGAUUCCAAAACUGUCCGGAAAUUCAUCGGAGAAAAAGACAGUUGCCAUCAAAGCCACUCAGAAACGAGCACCGCCACUGGAGGAGUGCCAACCCAGUGAUUUUUAAGUUCAUUUUCCGCUUCGCAGCGAAAUAAAUUCGAGGCUGCGCAGCGAAGCGGAAAAUGAACGGUAAUGAUUUUUUUUCUUGCUGGGAAGCUGUUAUUGACCGGGAGUGGUAGCCAUUCUAAAAGUUGUUCCGAAAGAUUUCUGCCAUUUCUGCGAUUCCAUUGAGUGAUGAUAUUACCGUGUUGUGAAACUUUCGAUUAUGACCAAAUUAAUAGAUCCAAUUAUUGUGCGGCGAAACUUUAUUGACUCCAAUCACCGGUUAUGUAUUUGAUAAAUGAAAUGAUUCAGCAACUAACGCCGUACAAGAAGAUGCGCAACGUAAAUUCUACCAGACCUCAGAUGCUUCCAUUAAAUGGUCAUCAUUUGUUGACAACCCCCAUGAAUCAAGUCCAAAUAAGAUGCCAGCAUCGAUGCCCAUAAUCUCCAGUAAUUGCAAUUACAUGAAUCUGUGUUUUCGGUACCCGCUGUCCACUAAUAUAACAUUGGAUCAGGUAUUGACGCUGGUCAAAAGGAACAGGUGAUCACAACUAGUCAGCUAAAGUAUUGAUAGAUCUCAAACCAAAAGCCCACUGGUGCCAAGAAGAGGGAUGAACUUUCCUUCGAAAUUCAACUUGGCCCAAUUUUCAGCCAUGAGUGGGUGCUUUCACAAGGAGCAUGACAGUCGCUGCACCAGGAGGACAACAAAUCUGUAGUCAAGUUAGGAAUUGUUUUUCAGGAUGCUGUCAACAUUCAUGUAGCCGUACAUGUCCGUUCAUCCGUGGUGAUCACCGUGCGUGUAUCCAGUAAAUAUUUGGAGCAUUUAGAGAAUUCCUGGCGUUAGCAAAUCAAUUUGGAGCUGCUGAACUAAAAUAUUAGGAUCAUAUACAUAACUAAGUGAUUGUACAAACAAAAUUGGUUUAAGUACGAUCUUCGGCACACGUAAAUUUCUGUUCGUUAUGUGUAGGUUGUUAUCCAAAGUGUUAAGCUCAAA